AGACGUCUACAUUAGAUACCCGCGUAGUCCCAGCCGUAAACUAUGCGCGUUAGGUGUAUCGGUGACCACGAGUUACCGAGGUGCCGAAGGGAAACCGUGAAACGUGCCGCCUGGGAAGUACGGUCGCAAGGCCGAAACUUAAAGGAAUUGGCGGGGAGCACCACAACGGGUGGAGCCUGCGGUUUAAUUGGACUCAACGCCGGGAAGCUCACCGGAUAAGACAGCGGAAUGAUUGCCGGGCUGAAGACUCUGCAUGACUAGCUG
rnacentral:rRNA from 1 species